rnacentral:lncRNA from 1 species
UAUGAAGUGCUUUCUCUUGAAAAUAUCACUUCUUUGUUGAGUUGGUUCAAGCAACACUUCCAAAAAAGUGAAUGGCAAAGUUGAACAAAAGAAGUUUUUCUGAUGUCCAUGCAGUAAAAAUCCACUACUAAUUUCAUCAUUGAUGGAUAACCAUCUUAAAUAUUUUAUGUAAGCCAGUAUAACAUUAAAUAACUUAUCUUCUCAGAAGAUCACUAUGCUUAAGUAGGAGAAGAGUUUGGAAGAGUGGUAUAUAUGCAUAGCACAAAAGGACUCAAAUAUUCUAUCAAUUGAUGUUCUAUUUUAAACAAUGGUGUAUAAUACUGAUACUGUGAUAUCAUAAGUGUGCAUCUUCUGGCUUUCCUACAGGUAUACUUUAAUUCACUAGGAACAUACAUUCUUGCUAAUAUUUUGGUAGUGGAAAUAUCAUGAUGAACCCUCUUAGAAACAUUAUGUUUAGUGUAUUCUAUGGCUUUGUCUCAUUUUAAGUUGAGCAUUAAAGGAAUGCAUUAUUUUAGUUUUAACUCUGACAAUAUGUCUAUCUAGUGGCCUAUUGCCAUUUCUGUCUUUAUUGAAAUUUUUGUCCCAAGAAAGUUAGGAUUGUACUUUUUUCCUAACGGGGAAAAAAAAUGUGGGAUGCCAUCUAAAUUAGAGUGGAU